AUGACCUUCAUCAUCAUCUUCAUCUGGACUCUCACAGCGUUUGCUCAAGAGUGUAGAGGACAGAUCACCGUCACUCAGAGUCCCUCAAUGACAGCAGCUCAACCAGGACAAACUGUGAACAUCAACUGUAAAACCAGCAGUAAUGUGUACAGUGAUGGUUGGGGGGGUCGUUUAGCCUGGUACUUACAGAAACCUGGAGAAGCUCCUAAACUCCUGGUUUAUUUAGCAAGCACCCUCCAAUCAGGAACUCCAUCUAGAUUCAGUGGCAGUGGAUCUAACAGUGAUUUCACUCUGACCAUCAGUGGAGUCCAGACUGAAGAUGCUGGACAUUAUUACUGUCAGAGUUUACACUAUCCAAACAGUAAAUGGGUGUUCACACAGUGA